UACGUAGGUGGCAAGCGUUGUCCGGAUUUACUGGGCGUAAAGAGCGCGCAGGCGGUUGGAUAAGUCGAAUGUGAAAGCCCCCGGCUCAACUGGGGAGGGUCAUUCGAUACUGUCCGACUCGAAGGCAGGAGAGGGAAGCGGAAUUCCCGGUGUAGUGGUGAAAUGCGUAGAUAUCGGGAGGAACACCAGUGGCGAAGGCGGCUUUCUGGCCUGUUCUUGACGCUGAGGCGCGAAAGCCAGGGGAGCAAACGGGG
rnacentral:rRNA from 1 species